rnacentral:lncRNA from 1 species
AUGCCCUCUCAGAGCCUGAAGCCACCUCCAGGGAAGGUGGGGUGGCAGGGCAGACAUCCCCCCCGGCCUCUUUCGCCCUGCACCGAGCGCGGUGCUGGGAACUUCGCUGGAGGCGGGACGCGCUCUCGCAGCGCGCCAAGGUCGGCACAGCGCCCGCGGCUGACUCGACGGCGUGGCCGCAGCACGAUCGGCAGUUGUCCGCGACUCCUUCCCGCCCCUCCCGCCUCCAGGCAGCGGGACGGGAUUCCCCAGACCUGCCUGGUCCGCGGCGCCGCAGCCAGCCGGGGUCGCUGGGGCCGGAAAGUUUGCGCUAAGGAAAGUUGUUUGUUUUUUUUUUUUUUCGGGGUGGGGGGGCGCGACUGCGGCGUCCAGGGUCGGCGAAGAGGCGCGGCCUGGGCUGGCAGUCGGCCCGUCCCUCCUUCCCCUCCCCUGCCCCACAGAAAUUUGGGAGCCCCGCCAUUUUCUUAGCCCCGCUCCCAUGUGAGGCCUGAACAAAGACUUUGGGGAGACGCCCGGGCCGCUCGGCCCGCCCCGGGCACCCCGGCAGCACGCAGGGGCCAUCGCCACGCAUGCCGGCCGCUGCCACCCUGCGGAACCGCUGCGCCCGCCCUAGGGAACGCCGCCAGCCCCACUCCCCGCAAGGCGCCCUGCGGACCACCCCCUGCUACUCUGUCACCCCGCAAACACUGCCAGCGGCCACGCUGUCCGGGUGCACGCCACAGUCGCCCACAGGUCGGCGGGAGUCCCGCUGCCCACUGCACCCCAGUCGAGCGCGCGCGCGCGCACACACACAUACACACACACU